CAAUUUCGAACGGCUUCAUGUCUAGAGCCGCAGUAGCGUCAAUUGUGCCAACCGUAUCAUCCGGCAGUGUGGGCUAUAGCGCGUAAGAAUCGGCGUACGCAGGAAAAGACACCAAGACACACCAAGUUCAACGCAGUGCAUGUACGCAAAAAGCAAAAAAGAGAAGAAAAAAAGUAGCAUACGAAACGAAAAGUUCGCUAAGUGUUUAUUUAGUUGCGAAAAGCCCGAACUGGGUCCAGUGCAAAGCCUGAUCUUUAUGUAUCACCAUCACAUAUACAUAUGUGCUUGUGUUCGCUAUGCUUGACAUUCAACGGUAAGCAGCCUAAUCGAACGCUUCACAGACAACACGACAAAGCGACACUUUUGCAUUUUUCAAUUCACCAGCAAUCCAAAAAAAAAAAACAAAAAACACCGGAAAGACCAACAACAGCCACAAUUUUCACAUUGCGUCGAUCAACGUUUAUUUCUACCUUCCUACUCUCUUUUUUUCAACUCGGCUGUUGCCAACAAAAUUUUACUGCUGCUUAUGUUGUUGUUGUUUUCGAUAAUGUUGUGCGUUGGCUGAUCGCGUAUCGGUCGUGUGUGUUGUGUGCGUGCGUGUGCGCGUGUGCGUUGUGCGCUUUGCGCGAGAAAGUGAAAUUAACGGAGAAAUUUUAAGUGACCAACAAAAAGAAUUGUGUCUUCUUCAAUAUUCGUUAAAGAAUCUGAAGUAAGGCGUGUACGAGCACAGCAACGGCAUAAGCGUGUGGACUUUCGCAGCGUCGAGCAAAUCUGCAGCUGCACAAGGCCACUGACCCAAUUUCCAAAAUUACCGGAUUAUCAAAGAAUCGUGUUGACUAUCGUGCAUUUGUGUGUGUGUGUUCAAACGAAAUUGACCCAAAGAAAAGUGGAAAUAAAGAAAGAUUUUGUGAAGCAAAGUAAAAAGCAUUGGUAAUAAAUACCCCACAAUGGCCGCUCUGUAGAAAGUGAGUUUUUAAUUACGCGCAUUUUAUACAUAACAUGUUCCUCCACAUACAAGUAUUUGGAAAACGACAACUUGAUUUUUGAAAGUCGAACAAAAUGGAUAAACGCUCAAACGUAGCAAGAACAUAUUUAAGCAGUUGAUAAAGAAACAAAAAACAUAAAUUUACGCACUUACUAGUAAUUUCCAAACAGAAAAAUUAUAAGCAAACUAAAAUUCGACGAACUAAAAGAACGAGUAGGAAAUUAUGCUUGAAAAAGAAUACAAAAAUCGAUGAAAGCAAACAAGAAUUAUUCUUAUUAUAAUAAAACUAAAAGUAAUUGCUAAUCUCUCUUUCUCUCCCUAUAUAAAUACUAUAUAUACAUAUAUAAACGAUUCUAGCCGUUCUACGCUUGUCUUCACUAUAGUAAAAUAUUGAAAACUUUAAUAAAGCAGCGAAAGUAAAGCAAGUAAAUACUACAAGAAGCAAACACCAACUUAUAGCAAUUAAAAAAUAUAUAAAAAUAUUUAGUAGUAGUCCAACAAAUUCAGGGAGCGCCAUAAAUUGCAUAGAUGAAAUUGCUUUAAAUUAGCUACGCUGGCACUGGUAUCUUCCGUACGCUUCCAACGCCGCCGUAGAAGAACCAGAAAACACUUAGAAAAGCAACUUAAAAAAAGUACGCAAACAAAAACUCACAAAAAAAAACUCCGCAAAAAAAAAAAUUCCGCAAUAAAAAUUCUACACUUGCGUGUGAAAUUUCCACUUUGCAUUCAAACCUACCUACUUACAAUCCACGUCUACCGUCAGCUCCAGCACGCGCCGUACCACCAAAACGGAAAGUGUACAGAAGAAGAAAAUUCAUCGAAAACCACAAGCAACUAACUGUAAUUUAAAUAAUUAAUUGCAAAAUAACA